rnacentral:lncRNA from 1 species
UAAUUUGAUACAUCAUUAAUAAGUCCGUCACUCUCGAUACAUUAGUAUAAUGAGAUAAAGAUGCAUUUCAUUGAUUAUUAAUAAGAUAAAAUUUGCGAUAGGAAAGGGAUAGUGAAUUCUAAAUUCUAAUUCGGCAAAGCUUCAAGUGAGACAUACUCUUAAGUGGACAAUAGUAAUUUUCAUUGUUUGGAGUAUGUAGCACUACCAUGAUAUAUAUUCAAAAUUGCUUAAAGUUUAUUUCAUUGAUUAUAUGGAUGAAUCUAACCUUAAGUUGCAGCAAAGUGUGGAUUGAGUCGACCCCGGCACAUCAAGAAACCAUCUGGCACACUUCUGCAAAAAUGGCACGGAUGAACAGUACUUGGGUCGACCCAAGUAAAGGAUGAGUCGACCCAAUCCU